rnacentral:rRNA from 1 species
AGAGUUUGUAGUCCUGGCGUCAGGAGUGAACGGACUGGCGGCGAUGCCUUACUACAUGCAAGUCGGACGGGAAGGUGGUGGUUUCCUAGUGGCGGACGGGUGGAGUAACGCGUAAGAACGUAACCCCUUCGGAGGGGGAACGAACAGCUGGAAACGGGACUGCUAAUACCCCGUAACGGCUGAGGAGGCAAAGGAAGGAAUACCGCCCGACGAGGGGCGUCGCGUCUGAUUAGCUAGUUGGUGAGGCAAUAGCUUACCAAGGCGAUGAUCAGUAGCUGGUCCGAGAGGAUGAUCAGCCACACUGGGGCUGAGACACGGCCCAGACUCCUACGGGAGGCAGCAGUGGGGAAUUUUCCGCAAUGGGCGAAAGCCUGACGGAGCAAUGCCGCGUGAAGGUAGAAGGCCUACGAGUCAUGAACUUCUUUUCCCGGAGAAGAAGCAAUGACGGUAUCCGGGGAAUAAGCAUCGGCUAACUCUGUG